rnacentral:rRNA from 1 species
GAUGAACGCUAGCGGCGUGCCUAAUGCAUGCAAGUCGAACGGGAUCCUUGGAUUCGUCUGAGGUGAGAGUGGCGAACGGGGUGAGUAACACGUUGGUGACCUGCCUUAGAGAGGGGGAUAACUAUUGGAAACGAUGGCUAAUACCCCAGAUGUCAAGGCUUUUAGAAAACCUUGACUAAAGCUUCGGCGCUCUAAGAGGGGCCUGCGGCCCAUCAGCUAGUUGGUGAGGUAAUGGGCUCACCAAGGGCUAAGACGGGUAGGGGGCGUGAGAGCGUGACCCCCCCACACUGGUACUGAGACACGGACCAGAUACCUGCGGGUAGCAGCAGCAAGGAAUAUUGCGCAAUCGACGAAAGUCGGACGCAGCAACGCCGCGUGAAGGAUGAAGGCCUUCGGGUUGUAAACUCUUUCUGGGGGAAGAGAAAGGACGGUACCCCAGGAAUAAGUCUCGGCUAACUACGUGCCAGCAGCCGCGGUAAAUGUAGACGUCC